AUUGAACGCUGGCGGCAGGCCUAACACAUGCAAGUCGAGCGGAUGAAGGGAGCUUGCUCCUGGAUUCAGCGGCGGACGGGUGAGUAAUGCCUAGGAAUCUGCCUGGUAGUGGGGGAUAACGUCCGGAAACGGGCGCUAAUACCGCAUACGUCCUGAGGGGGAAAGUGGGGGAUCUUCGGACCUCACGCUAUCAGAUGAGCCUAGGUCUGAUUAGCUAGUUGGUGGGGUAAAGGCCUACCAAGGCGACGAUCCGUAACUGGUCUGAGAGGAUGAUCAGUCACACUGGAACUGAGACACGGUCCAGACUCCUACGGGAGGCAGCAGUGGGGAAUAUUGGACAAUGGGCGAAAGCCUGAUCCAGCCAUGCCGCGUGUGUGAAGAAGGUCUUCGGAUUGUAAAGCACUUUAAGUUGGGAGGAAGGGCAGUAAGUUAAUACCUUGCUGUUUUGACGUUACCAACAGAAUAAGCACCGGCUAACUUCGUG
rnacentral:rRNA from 1 species